AACGUAGGUGGCAAGCGUUAUCCGGAAUUACUGGGCGUAAAGCGUGCGCAGGCGGUCUGUUAAGACCGAUGUGAAAUCCCCGGGCUUAACCUGGGAACUGCAUUGGUGACUGGCAGGCUUUGAGUGUGGCAGAGGGAGGUAGAAUUCCACGUGUAGCAGUGAAACGCGUAGAGAUGUGGAGGAAUACCGAUGGCGAAGGCAGCCUCCUGGGCCAACACUGACGCUCAUGCACGAAAGCGUGGGGAGCAAACAGG
rnacentral:rRNA from 1 species